AUUCUCUCUCUCUCCCUCAUUUUCUCUCUCUCUCUCUCUAAGAUUCUUCAUCAUUCGUUGUCCGUUUCCAAAAACGGAGGGUAUUGCGUGGAUCAGAAGAGGAAACUCUACACUUUUAGUGGAUCGGAUCGUCGUUUCGAAGAGUUUUGGAUUUUCCCAAGAAUCGAGGUUUUCGGGAUCUCGGGUUGUCGUUUUGGACCGUUUUCAUACGAAAUUUCAUUUCGAAUAUAAGGUCCGUCCGUGCGUUGGUCGUAGUAGAUAAAGGGACUGGGGUGGUUAUUUUGGUUAGCUUACGUAAGCAUCUAAAUUUUGUACUAAACUUGAUAAAAGUCCUUUUGAAGGGUUGUAAUAUGACGAUUACUCUAAGUCCGAAUGUAUGUAAAUUAUGGAUGUAUUAGUGAACUCUGGUAUAAGGCUAGUAGUAAUCCCAAUUGAUGUUUAUGUUUUUCCGCGACAUAUACAUCAUGAUUAUGUAUGAUUUACACCUGUAUGUCCCUGUUUAGGGCGGGUUCUUUCCAUAUCUUGAACAGGUAUAGGUAUUUGAUGUAUGUGAGUGACACCUGAGUCCGUGUAAAGGGUAGGGUCGUUACAAGAUGUCUCUCCCCAGCCCCCCUUCAACUAACACCAUAAGGUCUAGAAGAAGGAGAGGAAUUGUUUUUCAGAAAAAGUGCUCAAUUUAGUAAGUGUUCAACUGUAAAAAUGCUGAAAGUUAUAAGUGGCGUUUGAUUGUGUUUCAAA